rnacentral:rRNA from 1 species
GAGUUCGAGACAGCAAGAGAGGCGCGGAACGCACUCAAAGAGAUGAGGAUCGGAGAAGAUCGCGUCACGAAGGCUCGGGCACAAGUGCUGAAGCGCCAAUUUCACAAGUUGCAGAUGGAGGAAACUGAAUCGGUGAACGACUAUGCCAUGCGUCUGACUACUUUGGUGGGAGAGAUCCGCGCGCUUGGUGCAAAGCUCGACGAGACCGAGAUUGUGGAGAAGUUUUUCAGUUUGGUGACUGAUAAAUUCACGUACAUCAUCGGCACGCUCGAGCAGCUUUAUGACAUCGACGACAUGACCAUAACGGAGGCGAUCGGACGCUUGCGGACAUGGGAAGAGAAUGCUCGUGGUUGUCGGAAAGGCAAA